AUGGCGACGUCCCUGCCGUGCCUCGUCCUCAACUACGGCGACAAGCGGCCGAUGAAGCUGUACGGGGCCUCCGACGGCGAGUUCCGGCCGUGCGAGAUCGGCCCGCUGCUAACCAAGCGGAACUGGGCCACCGCGCAGGGCUGGGUGCUCGCCUGGGACCCUGACACCUCCGCCACCUUUCUGUGGGACCCGCAGGACCCGGAGCACGGCCGGGUCCAGCUGCCGUCGUUGGCGCAAGCUCCGCCGUUGGGUUCGGAAUGUGCGUUGUCCGGUGAUCCCGCCGGCCCCGGGGGCUGCACGGUGGUCCUGGCCGAGCCAUGCGAGAGCACUGUCAUCUGGUACUGCCACGCCGGUUCGACUACAGCGGAGUGGGUCAGGCAUGAGUAUGAUCUUGGAGGCAGGUGGGCCGUGCUCGGAGAAUACCGGGAGUGGAUUAAGGAGCACAUAUCCGGGCUCGUGGCGUGCGGUGGCAAAUUUUACUACCCGGUAUCAGACAAGGAUGAGUGCGGUGUGCUCGAGUUCUCACCGGAGCCGGUCUUCAGCACCGUGACGACCAAGGGGGUCAAGCUCACCUUACCUCCGAGCGGGGAAGUGUGCGUGCAUUGGAACCACUUUCUCUUUGACCUGGACGGCGAGCUCCACGCGCUGUGCAUCUUCUUUGCGGGUCUAGACACUAACGAGGUCGCGGACAUCGCCGUCUACAAGAUGGAUUUUGCCGGGUCCAGAUGUGCUAAGGUGGACAACAUCGGUGAUCGGGCAAUACUUGCUAGUGCAAGCAACCAUGCCGUGGGAUGGUGUUCUGCUAGCAAGUUCGGGUUGCUGCCUAACAGCGUGUAUUGGAUGAGCCGAUACGACAAAUGCUUGCACGUGUAUGACAUCGAAACAAGCACCGAGGAAUUGCGGGUAUGUGAAGAUGUCGCAAAACUAUCGAGGCAGCCAUUUUGGCUGAUACCUACACAUCAUCCAUGA
rnacentral:rRNA from 1 species